rnacentral:rRNA from 1 species
AUGAUAUGCUUCUUCGCAGUUGAGUGGCACUUUGUAGACCGUGUGGCAAGACAAUUUGGAAAAAGACAAGGUAUUCCAAUUGAGGAGAGCAAGGAGGAAAUGCUAUCUCUGCAUCGGUUCGAUCGAAGGAACAAUCAGGAUAUAUCGGAUUGGGCAAACAAACACCGUGCGUGGAUAGAAAUUUGGAAUCAAAGAGACACGUUAGUGCAAUCAGAGAAUAGACCUCACAAUCAGUCAGCAUAUCAGAAGUAUCAAGUGUGGUAUGCGGAUCGUUACCGGUUAAAGCUGAAGCCAGGUUGGACUCACGAGGAGUGGUCGGAGUUGGUGUCUGAAGACCCGGAGACUGCAGAAGGUUAUCAUACCUUCAACACGGCUGUGAGAGACACCAGAGGGGCUCAUGUUGACUACGCACCGAUGCAUGACGAAAUGGUAGUCUGUUUGACCUAUUCUAACAUACUUGCAUCAUGUUGUCUUUCUUUCAAAUACAUAAGUUUGGUGUGCUCAUGA